AUUGCAAGCACCCUUCUGUGUAUGGAAUUGGGAGGUUCGGCUUCAAAGUUCUGUUGGUUAGACUCCUGAAGAUGAGAUGACCCUCAGGUACUCUUCAUGUUGUGUGGAAAGUUCCAGAAUAAUUCAAAAGAAAUCUUUAGAAGAAAAUCGCACCAACGUACAUGUACAGCUCACACUGAGGCUUCAUUUAGAAUGGCCUUGGAGUUGCAAAGCUGAUGGGAUGCUAAUAUGAUAAGCUGUCUAUGUCAUAACCUAAAGUUCUCAGUUCAUGUGUGUUUGUGGCACAUAUAUGGCUCUGUAAGACUGUGACUGUGAGACUGAGUUAAGGAUCAUAGAUUGCUUUAACUUUUUGGUUAUUUGGGUGCACCUAGGUUGGACUGUUGGAGCAAUGCAUCUGAGGCACCAAUCAGACCUACAUUUGACAAGCUGUGGGGUGGCCAUGAUAGAUGAAAGAAGGAGGAUUGGGCAAGUACUCAUGCAUCCAAUAUUUGAUUGGGAGCCCAGCCCAGGUCUCCGUUCCCUAUUCCUUUUUGCUGAUACGAAUUUGCCUGUAUGCUGAUCUCUACUUGUGCAGAGAGGAUAAUCAAGGUGCAGUCAAACCACCAUUCCUUGCGGUAGAAUGUCAAGCAACAAUAUUACAACAUGCAAUUACAAACUUAUUUUGUAUCACCUAUUUGACUGAUGGAUGAGGCAGGCUAUCUUACCUAAACUAGGUAAUUUUUCAUAACCAUCUUAAGUAAGCCUAUGUUACAAACUAGACUGAUCCCAUGGCAUGAAAUAGUUGUGUUAUUGGCUUAAGAUAUUCGAGGUGUGGAAGAAAAGAGUGGAUAUGACCAUGAGGUCCAUUCCAUGAAAAUUCACUUUUGCCAUGUUUUGAAGACUGAGAUUAGCAUUUAGCCCAUUGCUGCAACAAUGUUGUUCCACAUAGAUUUAUGAGUUCAACUUAUUAUCUAUUGGGUUCGGUAUCACAGAUUGCUUUUAACCUUUUGGUUAAUUCGAUGUAUUAUGGAUGGAGCCUAGCCAAGCAGCUGAGGCAUCUCUUCGAGUGUCUCAACUUUAUUAGGAAGCUGUGCAUGGUUUUGAGGUGUGAGGUGUGACUAUGAGCCAUCAUAGAAGAUUGUUCAACUUGGGAUUGUUUCUUUGGUCUACCUAGAAGAAAAUCGUACCAAGAUACAUGUAAAGCUAAUAUUUACCGAUGCUGGAAGCAUUUAGAAUCGCCUUGGAGUUGAGAGCCUGAUCGAAUUGUACUUUGGUGGAGGAUGGGAAUAAUGAUCUGCCAAUAUCUGAUAGUAAUCCCAGCUCGACCAACUUCCAAACACAGAGGAUAAGCACUACAUCUUCCUUCAUCAACAGAAUCUUCCCUGUAGUUUGUCCGCCAAACAAAGACAGCACGAGCUGAAAUGAGUGAACUGUUGACUAGCUUGUUGUCAAAGACGGAUACAUUAACUGCCACCGUACCAGUGACUGUUCCAGGAAUGAAGCUAUUAGCUAGGCAGCUCAUGGCUUCCUCACAUACUGAACUGAACUCCCUAUCAGCUUUAAUUACUUCUGCGGCUUGAUUUCUUAAACAUACAGGUAAUUGCAGAGCAGUGUGAUUACUAUAUAUGUUUGUCUGCAAUGUCUGAUUUGUGUAUGAAGUCUCUGGGCUUAUUAGCCAAUUUAAGU